rnacentral:rRNA from 1 species
GUGAGUAACACGUGGAUAACCUACCUAUAAGACUGGGAUAACUUCGGGAAACCGGAGCUAAUACCGGAUAAUAUUUUGAACCGCAUGGUUCAAAAGUGAAAGACGGUCUUGCUGUCACUUAUCAGAUGGAUCCGCGCUGCAUUAGCUAGUUGGUAGGGUAACGGCUUACCAAGGCAACGAUGCAUAGCCGACCUGAGAGGGUGAUCGGCCACACUGGAACUGAGACACGGUCCAGACUCCUACGGGAGGCAGCAGUAGGGAAUCUUCCGCAAUGGGCGAAAGCCUGACGGAGCAACGCCGCGUGAGUGAUGAAGGUCUUCGGAUCGUANAACUCUGUUAUUAGGGAAGAACAUAUGUGUAAGUAACUGUGCACAUCUUGACGGUACCUAAUCAGAAAGCCACGGCUAACUACGUGCCAGCAGCCGCGGUAAUACGUAGGUGGCAAGCGUUAUCCGGAAUUAUUGGGCGUAAAGCGCGCGUAGGCGGUUUUUUGAAGUCUGAUGUGAAAGCCCACGGCUCAACCUGGAUGGGUCAUUGGUAACUGGAAUACUUUGAUGUGGCAGAUAGAGCCCCACUGGAAUUCCAUGUUGUAGCUGGUGAAAUGCGCAGAGUAUAUGGAGUGAACUAUCCAUUGGCGAAGGCGACUUUCUGGUCUGUUACUGACGCUGAUGUGCGUAAGCGUGGUGGAUGCAAACAGGAUUAGAUGAUCCCUGGUGAGUGCCACGCCGUAAACUGAUGACCCCCCAAGUGUUAGUGUGGGUUUCCGCCCCGUUGAG